rnacentral:lncRNA from 1 species
CAGCAACUUAGCAAGACCCUGUCUCAAAAUAAAAAGGACUGGGGAUGUAUCACUGUGGUAGAGCACUCCAGGGUUCAAUCCCCAGGACAAAAAAAAAAAAAAAAAAAAAAAAAAAAAAAGAAAAAGAAAAAAAGUUUUUAACCUCCCCCAAGCCAAAAGAAGGUAGACGUCACAUUUUAAAAGGUCUUUAAACAAUAGCCACAAUCAACUGAAACCUGAUACCUUCAACCAAGCCAAAAAUAAGAUGUGCACCUUCCCUGGGAAGUCCUUCCUAUUAAUUAAGAUAGCUUUAAAUCUAGAAAGAGCCAUUUAUACAACCUGAGUCCAAAAUACACAGAUCAUGCUACCUGGAGUUACUGAUAAUACUAUAAAUUCUCCAAGUCUUCAGUUUCAUCAUGAACUCCAUAUCUAUACCUGGGGCUGGGUUUAAUGGAUUGAGAGGUUGUUCUAGUCUCUGGGAUGAAAAACAUCACUGAGGGCAACUACAGACAUUCAGUAGAAAGGCUCUAGGUUCCUUCUAUUCCUGUACAAAAUUCACUCCAUCACCCUCAAAAAGGUAGGUGGCCAUCCAGGUGUGGUGGUACAUGUCUGUAAUCCCAGGGGCUCAGGAGGCUGAGGCAGGAGGAGGAUCACAAGUUCAAGGCCAGCUUCAGCAAUUUAGCAAGGCCCUGAGCAAUUAGCAAGAUUCUGUCUCAAUAAAUAAAUAAAUAAAUAAAUAGGCUGGGGAUGUGGCUCAGUGUUUAAGUGUCCCUGGGUUCAAUAUUUAGUAUCAAUCAAUCAAUAAAUAAAUGGGAGGUGGCCCUGAUGGGCAGUCUAGGAUUGCACUUGGGUAUGGUUUGGAAGACAGUGCCAGGCAGACCUUCCAAUUGAACAUGUUAAGGAAAUUCAGGUUGCACAACAUGGCAGCCUUCAGGACCCUUCUUUCAGCCUAAGAAAGAAAUUCUUGAAGAAUCCAAAUGACAGUUACAGUUGGACCUCACAAAGGGCGGGGAAACAAGAAGCUGCAGUGGGUGGAGCAUAUUCUGGGCACUGAUACUGGUUCCUAUGGAUUUUCCUCCCCCAUGAUCUUGUUCAGGAGGUGGACCUGAGUAGAUGUGUCACAGGGUCCCUUCACUCUGGCCACUACAGAGUUCUGGGAAGAGAUGAAUAAAGAGAGGGAGAUUUUUUUUCUAACCCCUCCCAAGCUAGCUCCCACCUGGCUGUCUCUCUCCACUUAGGAUCACUGUUCCUCUCAGGGUAGCUCUUGCCACACCUUUCUCUGUGUUUCUGGGUUCUAGGAGCCAUGCAUCUCCUUAUCCCUUUGGGCCCGAUAGUAAUACUGCCCACUUGAUUGUUAUCAGACUGUGACACUGCCUUUUCCUAAGGCCUUUACGCCCACUCUUUUUAAAAGUAUACCCUCCUGACUUCUCUUGUUUUAAGCCUGCUGAGACCUUGACUGGUAAUAUACAGUGCCUUCUCCUUGUUUCCAGGCCUGUAAUGACAGAAGGCCUACGACCCUGUACCCCUUUACUGUAUAGAAAUCUGUUUUAGCUACUCUAGGACAUGUCUGCCAUCUCUCCUAUCCAGUCUUGCAGAUAUGUAGACUAGUAUCCAGUAGCCUCCUGUGCUGUUUCCCUGCCUGACUAGGUGUCCUACUCAUUCCCAAGGUCCAUUUGCCAUAUACUUUGCUAUUCCGGGACAAGAGGGCAACCUUCAGAAUUUGGAGCACCCAAGCUAGGGAUAAACUUUACGAAAGAAGUAUUUAAG